AAACUAUCCUUCCCACCCCACACAACACCACCAUCUCAUCCACAUCCACCAGCUCCCACCAGAACCUCAUGAACCAACCACAGCUGCAGCCACAUGUCAGUCUGAAGACGGCCAUUUACCAAAAGCCAAACCAAAAGAGAUACUUGGUGACAACAGCAUCUGUACCCAAUGUUUCCUCUCGUUGUCCUGUUUGCAGCAAGUCAACUUUCCUGCUAGAAACCUUUUUAACCCCUGUGAUCAGUUUCUGCUGCCAUUGCUUUGGUAACACUGCUUGGCAACCAUCAUCAAUGAUAUCACUUUACCAAAGAUGAAGGCUCACUACCACAACUUUCUUCAUUUUUUCUGGAGCGCUCAGAAACUUUUGAUGCUGUGAGUCUCUCAUUGUUUUAAAGUAAUCUUCGUCUGUUUUUGUGUGUGCUUGAACAUUUUUGCCAUUUCUGCUAUCCCCAUAGCUACCUACGAUCCUCAGUCUCCCCAAAGUUUCUCUUAUCUUAGUAUUUCACGUGCUUUCUUGUAGACCUCUGCCCUUGUCCUGUGUUUUCAUCUUUAUCUGUUUUAGACCCCUGUUGCCACAACAAACCAACCAAAACUUUGUGGUUUCAAACUGCAACAAAUUCUUGUCCCCGAGAUCUUGUGGCUUAACUGGGUGCUCUUCUGUCUGUGGUAUUGGUUAGGGAGUUGAGGGAAUGGUUGUUCAGAAAUAGCCUUACUAACAUAUAACUGGAAAUUUGUUCUGGCCACGGGUUGGGAGCUCAAGUAGAACUGACAGUUGAAGGCCUGUUAAGUAAAGUGCUCUUACACAGUCUCCUCAUUCUGCUUCCUGAGGAUGUGUUCCAAAAGGUGAAGGUAAAGCCACCAGUCCUCAUCAAACAGAGAGAGUCAAAACUCCUGGAUGCCCCCUCUCCUGCUUCAUAUUGGUCAAGACAAUUGCCCAGAGAAGAGGGCUACAUCUUUAUAAGGUGUGGCAUUUCAUGCAGAGAGAGGGAAUUGUGGGUGGCAAACAUAUUUGAUAAUCUGCCACAAUUAACCUUCUGCCUGAGACAAUGGCUAGCACUCCAAUGUACAAAACGAACUCACGUCUGCCUGAACUCUCAUUCCAUGAUAGAAUCUGCACCAAGCAUGGGAUAUCAUCAUUAUAACGUAGCACCCUCUGCUCUACUACUUGAUACUGCUUUUCAGAGGUUGCUUUGGGAGGAGGCAUUGAGUUCUCUGGACUGAAAACAGCAAGUCGUAUUACAAACUAAGAAACAGUUGUGGGAAAGGAUACAGAAUAAAGCAAUAAAGUCUAGAGUACACAGGGCGGGCAAGCACCACUGUUCUUAGCAAUUCCGAAAUUUGACUGGGCACAUGUUACCAUUUGUUCUGACUCCUAGGCCAGAGAAUGUCCCUGGAUUGGCUAUGUGUUUCUGCUCCAUUACCAUGUGAGCUGGGUGUGGCAGUGCAGCCUGUCAUCUCAGAACUCAGAAGGCAGAGACAGGAGGAUCACUGCAAUGCAGAGGCCGGCCUGGUCUGCAUAGUGAGUUCCAGCCAGAGCUACAUGCCAUCACCCCUGACCUGGGACAGUUGCAGAAGUGGAUGACCUCUGAAGAUACACUCAUCUGGAUGCCAGAUUUGCACAGGGGAUCAUUUCCUUGGCCAGCAGCUCAGGUUUUUUCCCCAACACCAGCCAAAUAGAGACAUAGUAUCUAUGAGUCGUACUACUUCCUCUCUGCCUACAUCCUGAGCGAAAGAGAUGGGGAAUUCUCAACAUACCUGGAGAAGUUCCAAGUAAAGAGUCACAUUUAAAUGCCUACUUGUCUACCGUAAUACAAAGAAAAUGCAACAGUGAAGAAGCAUGCGGACCCUUCUCCUUGGAAACAGUUCUUCCACUAAGGAAUGAGUGCCCCCUAAGAGAAAACCCCAGAAAUAAUAAAUUGGUUUCUUAGCUGUGAUUCUGGUUUCCUAAUUCAAAACCAAAGGAGGUUAAUC
rnacentral:lncRNA from 1 species